AUUCUUACUUGGCAGGGGAGGUACCAUGAUCAUGAAGGUGGUUUCCCAGGGGGAGGCUUAUGCACUGCACUCAGAACGAGCUGACCCCUGUGAUUUCCCCAAGUGUGGGAAACUUGACGCAUAACUUAUGGUAGGGACUGCAUUCGCGCUCUCCCCUG